AUUGAACGCUGGCGGUAUGCUUUACACAUGCAAGUCGAACGGUAGAGGGGCAACCCUUGAGAGUGGCGAACGGGUGAGUAAUACAUCGGAACGUGCCCAGUCGUGGGGGAUAACGUAGCGAAAGCUACGCUAAUACCGCAUACGACCUGAGGGUGAAAGCGGGGGACUCGCAAGGGCCUCGCGCGAUUGGAGCGGCCGAUGGCAGAUUAGGUAGUUGGUGAGGUAAAGGCUCACCAAGCCGACGAUCUGUAGCUGGUCUGAGAGGACGACCAGCCACACUGGGACUGAGACACGGCCCAGACUCCUACGGGAGGCAGCAGUGGGGAAUUUUGGACAAUGGGCGCAAGCCUGAUCCAGCCAUACCGCGUGCAGGAAGAAGGCCUUCGGGUUGUAAACUGCUUUUGUCAGGGAAGAAAUCUUCUGGGCUAAUACCCUGGGAGGAUGACGGUACCUGAAGAAUAAGCACCGGCUAACUACGUGCCAGCCGCCGCCGUAAGAC
rnacentral:rRNA from 1 species